UAGGGAAUCUUCCGCAAUGGACGAAAGUCUGACGGAGCAACGCCGCGUGAGUGAAGAAGGAUUUCGGUUCGUAAAACUCUGUUGUUAGGGAAGAAAAAAUGUAUAGUAACUAUAUACAAAAGAGACGGUACCUAACCAGAAAGCCACGGCUAACUACGUGCCAGCAGCCGCGGUAAUACGUAGGUGGCAAGCGUUGUCCGGAAUUAUUGGGCGUAAAGCGCGCGCAGGUGGUUUAGAAAGUCUGAUGUGAAAGCCCACGGCUCAACCGUGGAGGGUCAUUGGAAGCUAAUAAACUUGCGUGCAGGGGAGAAAAGUGGAAUUCCUAGUGGAGCGGUGAAAUGCGUAGAGAUUAGGAGGAACACCGGUGGCGGAGGCGGCUUUGUGGCCUGCAACUGACGCUGAGGCGCGAAAGCGUGGGGAGCAAACAGG
rnacentral:rRNA from 1 species